UGUAACGCAUGUUAUCGAUUCAAGAACUAAUGAUUUCAUGUAUCCUAUUCGAAUGAAUGAUGGGCCUGUUUUUGAUUCGGAUGGACUCAUUGAGUGAAUCACAAGUUCGUCAGGUUUGGCAGAAGUCUAUCUUUCCAAAACAUUUUCAACCUGUUUGUCAUUUUCGUUAGGUUACAAAUAACCAAUACAACGUGAUCUUCCCACUAAUAUAGUCCACGUUAAAUUUAACCUAGCGAAUUCCAAGAUGUUCAUGUGAAUCACAAGCCAAUCGUCGACCCAGAAUCGUAACCUAUCUAACAAAUUAUCAAAUUGAAGGCAGAUUGAUAUUUGGCCCGGUCCUGGUUCAUCAAGAAUCGUUGGACCGGAAGAACCCAGCUGAAGUACUCUAUAAGUGAACUUUAUUGUUGUAAAGUUCAAGUCCACAUCGGUGAAACGGAUGUGCCACUUUUAAGUUUGUAAAUUCAGUAUGGAUUACCAAUACCCCAUGUAGUCUGAGUAUAUAUUUGUCUCAAGGGGAAAGUUGAAGCGGUCCAGAAAUGGUGACUGUGUUUUCUACAGAAAGCCUCCUUUGUACUCGUCAGAUUACUUGUUUGAGGUUUUUAAGGUUAUGAAUCCCCACCAACUAUUUGUGAUGCAGAUAUUACUAAGCGCACGAAAAAUUCAAGUUAGACAAGUUACGGCAAGUUCCAUAAUCCAUGCGAAAAGGCUGCUUUAUUAGAAAGUCGCCUUUGAAAGGAGCUUGGAAGUGGCUUUGGUUCCAUAAACAUAAUCUAUUCAUUCGAAACUGUCAAGUUUCCUAGGGUUGGCAAUGUUAAGAACUAGUGAUUUAUUGAAAUUGAAUUUGUAUUUGUUGAGAAAAUGGAGAAAGAUUGGUAUAGUAUUCUGUGGUACUUAAUUCCGAAUUUCCAAAUAUGAUAGAGCAUAAACAAAAAGGAUCCUUUUUCUUACCAUGAAGGAUCACUAUGCAGACUUCAUGAUGAAGGACACUUCGAAGCUUUCUUUAACCUUAACCUUUCAUUUGUAGAGGAGCCUUUUCAUGGAAAGGGAGAUUUUACUUUCGAUUACUAACCUAACUAAAAAUGUAUACGAAACAAAAAACAAGAUGAAUCAAUACCUUGUCAGAUGAUUUGAAAGCUGGCUUCAGGCUAUUUUUGGUCAUUUUUGCAAGUAUAUGCUCACGCCUGAGUGAUUAUUGUUUAUAUCUUGUUGAUAUUCUAAAUUUUUAUUUCUUGUUAUUUACAUGAUAGUGGAUAUGGAACAAAUAUUAAAAGUUUUCGUUAUUUCA